AUCUAGCAGUUACAAAAAUUUAUUUCCAAUUUAAUUUAACAAAACAUUAAAAUAAAAAGUAAAGGAGAAUGAACUUAAAAUUUAAAGUCUUAUGAAAGAUACAAUUACAAAAUUUUUUAAAGUACGGCUUUAACCCGGUACCUUUUGUAUUAUGGCUUAAUGAAAUUUCUUAGGAAACCCUAUUUUCUAGAAAGAAAAAGAGCUAUAUUUAAACAAUUAUGUGUUGCACAACUAAAAUUGAUUUAUUUAUAGAAGUGAAAAACUUAUCGAUUUUUCUGAUAGCUAGCUGAGAGAAAAAAGUGUAUAAGCACCUGUUUAAAUAAAACUUAUUUUUCAAAUAAAAAAAAAUUUUUAUUUUAACAACAUUUUUUCAAGGACAAGCUUGAAAACUAAAAGUAUUAUUAUUAAACUUUGAAAUAUAGGCUUAAAAGUUGCCACUAUCCUUAUUGUCUUUUAACUCCCAUGUAAUUUAAUUUUAUAAUAAAUCUUAUUUUGAAUCUCUCCCUUUUGGUCAACUAUAAGGCCAAAAAAGUCUAUGUUAAGACGAGUAUUUAUAAAAAUAAAGUUUAGGGUUAGUAAAACUAAAACUUUUUAAAUUCAAUUAUUAUAAAUAUAAAAAAGGAACUCGGCAAAUAUGUGUUUCGCCUGUUUACCAAAAACAUCGCUCUUUGUAGACUAAAAAUAAAGAGUCGUGCCUGCCCAGUGAAUAUUUUCAACGGCCGCAGUACCCUGACUGUGCUAAGGUAGCAUAAUCACUUGCUUUUUAAUUGAAAGCUAGAAUGAAUGGCUUGACGAAAACACCGCUGUCUCUAUUAUAUUAAAUAAAAACUACUUUUUAGGUGAAGAAGCCUAAAUACCCUCAAAAGACGAAAAGACCCUGUCGAGCUUAAAUAAACUUUUAAAAUAAAUUUAUAGUAAAUCUAAAUUAAAACAAAAUUUUAGUUGGGGCGACGGAAGAACAUAUAAAGCUUCUUUUAAUUUUAAAUACUGAUAAGUUAAUUUGAGCCAUUAAUAAUGACUAAAAGAAAAGCUACCGCAGGGAUAACAGCGUAAUUUCUUUGGAGAGCUCAAAUUGAAAAAGAAGUUUGCGACCUCGAUGUUGGAUUAGAAAUUCUCUUUGGUGCAGCCGCUAAAGAUGAGGGCCUGUUCGGCCCUUAAAUUUCUACAUGAUCUGAGUUCAAACCGGCGCGAGCCAGGUUGGUUUCUAUCUUUGAGGCAAAAUAAACAUGCUUUAGUACGAAAGGACCAAGCAUCAUA
rnacentral:rRNA from 1 species